UACGUAGGGUGCAAGCGUUAAUCGGAAUUACUGGGCGUAAAGCGUGCGCAGGCGGUUCUAUAAGACAGAUGGGAAAUCCCCGGGCUUAACCUGGGAACUGCGUUUGAAACUACAAGGCUAGAGUGUGGCAGAGGGGGGUGGAAUUCCACGUGUAGCAGUGAAAUGCGUAGAGAUGUGGAGGAACACCGAUGGCGAAGGCAGCCCCCUGGGUUAACACUGACGCUCAGGCACGAAAGCGUGGGGAGCAAACAGG
rnacentral:rRNA from 1 species